rnacentral:lncRNA from 1 species
AUAACUCUUUCACUUCGUGAUGCAUAUAUAUUUGUAUUGUCUCUAUAUCGCUUAUAUCUGUUGUUGUCUCUAUAUCGCUUAUACAUGUAUCGUCUCUAUUUCACUUAUACUUGUAGUCGCUUCUACCUGAUAGACGCUCUUACUUCACUUAUCGACGUCUCUACUUCGUGAUACGCUUAUGCUUGUUCGACACUCCUACUUCACUUGCAACCGCUCCUACUUCACUUGUUGGACACUCCUACUUCACAAGAAUCACUUCUACUUGAUACACACUCAGUCGUAGUUAGAUGUAUGUCUGUGCUUAUAUAGGUACAUAUAAGUAAUGAUUGAAAGACUUAGGAAGGCUCGUCCGCCCUAUUUCCUUUUCUUCGUUGAGAUGUGGUCUGGUGGGAUCGGAUGGCCGUCCGAAGGUCGUUUGAUUCAUUAGUUAUGUAUUAUGUAUAUGAGUAUAGACAUACAGGAAGUCUCUAGUCAGUUCAGUUAAGAGUCUCUACCUCUAGUCCACACUUACAUUAGAAACGCACUACCCACUAUUUGGAAGUCUCUACCUCUAGUUCAGCACUUACACACUACCCACUAUUUGGAAGUCUCUACCCACUAUUUGGGACGCAUCUUCAGGACACGGCCUUCUCCGUUGUCUAGUUGGUAACCAGAAUCUCCUGUAGGGAGAGCGGACAUUGUGUGUAUAGAUCUAUACGGGAUUGAUAACCCCGCACCUAGACUGCUAGCUACAGUUUCGACCUACAAAGCCAACGGGUGACAAAUGUCAUAUUUUAGACGCUUGUAGGGCGUCUGGUACUCUAGUCAGUAUGGUUACGAGUAUCCCGGGUUACCUUAUAAUUCUUUGGCCUUAAGGUAACGGUAUUUCGACAGCAAUUUACAUUGUAUGCUGGUAAUUCUUUUUCAGAGUCACACUGUUUUGACCUUACAAGACGUAUCUUUCAUUUGACACUGUCUGGGAUCUGUCUUCUCUGUUUUGAACUUACAAGACGUAUCUUUCAUUUGAUAUUGUCUGGGGUCUGUAUUCACUGUUUGAGACCUUACCAGCUGUACCUUUCAUUUGGUACCUUCUGGGGUCUGUGCCUCCAUUUGUUAGACUGAACCAGGCAUGUCGUUCGUUCGAUACUUUCCUGGAGUCUAUGAUUCCUUGCCUUAGUCAGCAGUCCUCACUGCUGAGGAAUAUGUUAUUCCCUGAUGUCGUUUCCUUUCCUCAAUAAUCAAAUUCAGUAUUUUGAUAAUAAUUGCAAUUUAGGGAAAACUACUUUUUAUCACAUAACACUGACCAACCAUGGUAGAAGGCUGCUUUAUUAAAGAAAAUAUAGGAUUUUCUGGAAAGAACUCUAAUACACAGUAAACACUUAAACAACUACUUUAUAAAGUUAUUUGAAUAAAUGUCACUAAAUACUUAUGAACUCACCAGCAUUUGAAAAAUGUUGAUACUCACUUUUCAAAUAACUUGUAUUCUCAGGUCAGCAAUUAGACAGGUACACCCCCGGAGCUGUUGAUGAAGAUUGCUUAGUACCUCGCUGUACUUUAUAUAUAUUUGCCUGUAUUACUUAAUACUUUGUAAUGUAAACCAUGUAAAAUUAUUACUAUUAAUGCAAUGUUUUUGUUGUACUUUGAUCACUAUAAUGCAUGUGUUGUGAUACUUGACAUGACGUCAUCCACCCCAUAACGUUUCCGCCGUUCCGGUUUUGGGGUGUGACAGAUUGGUAUCAGAGCAUUGUUUAUAGUGAGCUAAGUAUAUCAAUUCAUAAAAGAUAUACAACCUAUAAACACAAAGGGAUAAAACACUCUGACCAAGAAUUAUACUUUAAAAUAUAACCAUAUUUUACCAAAGUAUAAUAACAUCNAUGUAAAAUUAUUACUAUUAAUGCAAUGUUUUGUUGUACUUUGAUUACUAUAAUGCAUGUGUUGUGAUACUUGACAUGACGUCAUCCACCCCAGAACGUUUCCGCCGUUCCGGUUUUGGGGUGUGACAGAUUGGUAUCAGAGCAUUGUUUAUAGUGAGCUAAGUAUAUCAAUUCAUAAAAGAUAUACAACCUAUAAACAAAAAGGGAUAAAACACUCUGAUCAAGAAUUAUACUUUAAAAUAUAACCAUAUUUUACCAAAAGUAUAAUAACAUCCAGAAUCUAAACACUCGAACACAAGUAUCACAAGAACAACAAGAAUAAAAGUCGUCGGAUGUUGAGCAUUACCGUCAAACCUGGGCAGUUAUGUAAUCGUAAGCUGGGAUAAAUGUAACCUGAUCAACUACAUUUAUCCGAGAUGCGAUGAACAUGUGCUUGGGAGUGAUAGUGGUGUACAACAGGUCUGAAACUUACCAAAUAGGAUUGCUAGAGCCAAACAUAAAGUUAAAAUACUAUAGGAGUAUUUUAGAACGCUAAAAGAUUCACACUAAUCCCAGAAUGAUACUCAGAAGAUAAGAAACAAACAAGAAUUAAAAUACCAUAGGGGUAUUUUAGGAAACAUAAACAACCUUGCGUGAAUAACUAAAAAGAUCCUUAUUUAUAUACCUACAACUACAGAGGGUGUACUCCCAAGGUUAUAUAUAACAAGGAUCCCAUAGGCUAAGAAUGUGUGGUUUCGCUCUAUUUCCUUUUCCUCGUUGGGAUGUAGCUCUAGAGUAGUAUUACAUGUUCGAAGGCCUAUCGGAUCUAAGUUAUAUAUGAUUUGUAUACCAUGUGUAAUUGUAGCAGGACUCGAUACGGAUCAUACAGUGAAAUGUUAAUAAUCUCUUAGGAUUCUUUAGACAAACCAAUCCACUUCAGUACUCGGCAGAAGAGUUGAUUAAGAUCCAGAAGAGGUUCAUUGAGAAGAUUUCCUGUUCGGAAAUAAAUGAACUGGGUCGAGACUAUUGAAUGCACCAAGUACCCAUAUUCUUUUAGGGACAUUGGUGAGAAAUUUUCCUAAACUUCCGAGAUUCCCAGUUGCCCUUUUAGAGGUGAUGACACCCAUUGUCGGAUUCGGAAGUGAGGUAAAGUAGAAAUUCAAUAUGUCCAUACGAGAAGAGAACCCUAGGAAACUACCCAAAGGAAACCAACGUCGAUUCCAGUCAAAGAUACGAGGAACACAGAGGGAGCCAGUACAUGGAACCCGAGAAUUGCCUAUUCCUCGUGUUCGUCACGCUAAUACACCCUUAAAAGAAUACAAAUUUAGUGAGUUAGUGGUUACACUACUCACGCUAUGUGUUAGGUAAAUCGUCGUUUCCCGUUGCCAGAUACACGAUUAGGGUGGAUCCCCGCAUCUCUAUUGAGAGAAUUUAGUCAUUUGCCCUUGUGAGCCUCUCUUUCUGCAGUUUCGUUCCGAACUGUUCUCAAAUCUCUCCAGGCCGGAGAGUGAAACCUUUCCCAGUAUAAAGGUAACUUAGUAGGAACGAUUCACAUCUUAUGGCCUUUUUCCGAUACUCAUACACCCACUUCGAUUACCAGGACUACAUCAUCGGGAUGUAGGUCGACACUCAGACGACCAGUACCCAAGGCACGGGAAAAAUUUAUUCAUAAUACAUUCAGGACAGAAAUGUCCAGGGUUAACCAUCGUCUCUCAUUACCUUGUAUUCCUUUCCGUGUAGGAAAACCAUGCCACCAAAGAAGCGUAACCAGUCUACAAGCAAGAAACCCACUCUCUUAUUCGAUGAAGCUACGUUCCAAGCUGCAGUCUCAGCAGCCGUAGCAGCUGUCAUGGCUCACCUGAAUGCUAACACCGCAAAUGUUAGCAAGGGCCCUGUCGGGAUUUCCAAUCCUGGCAAUGGACAGCAGCAACCAACACUUCCAUACUCAGCCACCCAAGAACCUCACUCAAACCCACUAAAGAGAAAACUCAAGAUUGAGGAGGGAAGUACCUCGGCUCAAGGACCUUCCGAAGGGCAACGAGCUGAGACGGCCAAUGCUCCUGUAAAUCCUUCCCUCCCGACUCCAAGAACACCAUACCUAGGAGACCUACCCCACUGCAGCAAGUGCAGCUACCAUCAUCAUGGUGCAUGUCGGGAACUCUAUUGUGCCAGGUGCAACAUGAAGGGGCAUACUGCUCGUGUAUGCAGAACUCCGGUGGAGCGUAUUGCAUCAAUCACCAAUGUGACGACCAAUCCAGUUUGCCAUCUAUGUAGUACGAUUGCACACUUCAAAAGGGAUUGCCCAGCUGAAGAAAACAACAAGGACACAGGAGGAGCCUGACUCUACUGCUUAGGAAGAAGCGUCAAGGAACUCAGUAGAUUUUUGGUACGUGUCUCGAUCUCGGAUAACUAAACUAAAGAAAAUAAAGACAAAUUCAAAUGUAAGUAUUUCCCCAAUAAGGCGAAAGUCGCAACACUAUUUUAAAAUUUAAAAUUUCAUUAGGUAAAACUAUAAUGGCUAAACAUAUACGUCACGGCCAUGUAUAGUUAAGAUGGACAGACCUAGAGUGAGCGAAUGCCGCCUCAUUUCCUGUUUCUCGUUUGGUUGUGGAUUUAGGGCGGGGUCGCUCAGUAAAUAGUACUCCCCACCUUAAAUAUACAUCACUAGUAUAUGUGAGGCGAUUAUAGAAAUGCCUCGUGAGAAUCCAUUCAUGAAAAGGUACUCUACUCAGAAACACUUAGGACUCUCUAUAGUUCCGCGUCGACUCUAUCAGUCCAGGUAUCCGCGGUAGUGAUACACAGGACGAAACCCGAGAUGCCGAGAACUUGUGUGGCUGUUCGGCACAUGACUCUAUCGAUCUUUAUAUCAUGUCGAAGUGUGCCAACUUCGACGACCCUAUCGAUCAUGGUUUGACUUCAUUCAACCAUGUGUUCAUUCUUAGUGCGGUGUAAAAAGAACUUUCUCCAUAGCCAUGUCGGCAAAUAAAGGUUCUUCCAAACCUAAACCUAACACAAAUAAUCAAACCUAAUGCGAUCCGUCAAUCGUCUCUCUUAUCUCAAACCUUCCGAAGUACCCAAGAGAGGGUACCACGCGCCGUCGACCAACCCCUCGUAGUCAGAUGGACACCGAAGCGAAGGACACUGUAGAAACUCCAGUAGACGAAAACCAGCCAAAGCAUACUCUGUAGAUUCCCCCGAGAGACCCUUCGCACCUCGCACAUCAGGAUCGUGAACCCAGAGGACAAAACUCAUGAGACUGACCACUAUAACUAGGUAUAUGCGUAAAGGUGGCAUAUAAUUGAGAUCAAAAAGAUUUAAGGUGUGUGUUUCCUCCGUAUUCCCUGUUCCUCGUUGGGUUGUGGGUUUGGGGUGGAGUCGCACAGCUGAACAUCCUGCCGACCUCAAUUGUAUACUGCCUGCAUACACCCGGUAUUUGUGGUUAGACUAAGCAUGAGCUCUACCACGAACCUCUUAGAAAAGCCCUUCACCCUAUUCCAUAAAAUAGGAGCCGGAGUCAAGAGAAUCACUGCGAGUUGAGCUAUUAAAGUUCCGAGUGAUGAAACUCUAUACCCACUAGAUUUUACCUAGACCGAGAAAACUCAGAACCUUCGGAAGAGUAGUUGCAGUAGGUGCUCGCACUACUCAGGCACCUCGUCCACCCAGUUAUAGACGAGCAGUGCAUAUCAUCCUCCACCCUCUUGCAUGGAGGAAAUCGUCGUCGCCCUGUAGACGAUAAAAUACCUUCUCCGAAGUGAACACUAGGAUACCGAGAACCACAGGAUAACCUCCGCAGCCAAGAAUCCUUGAUUAAAGGGCGACAGUAGUUGCGUUGAACCUCGUGACCCAGAUCCCGAAGAGAUUAUAGACUCGACACCAGCCUUGGUGUUAGUCGAGGGGUUAUGCAGGAACAUGCGCUUUCCGCACUAGAAUAAACCAAAGUUUUGGAAAAUCCUUGGACUAUUAGGUGUUUCACGAAUACUAUUUCACGCAGCGAUAGUAGAACCACCUCCCGAGAUAAUCCAACACUCGUCUGGUGAAACCCUAUCUCCCCGACCCUCAGGAUUUCCGCAUCUCAAGAGCCUUUAGUGCAGAUUCAUUUUGCACAAGCUUGAGAUAGACACUCUACAGCAAACAGAUAACCGUAGAUACGCAACCCAUCCGAUGACCUAGAAAGUCUCUAUCAGCCAGUUGACAGGAAACGUGAAACCGAAAGAUCACUAGAGAAUCCUAAGAACCAACUUGAAGGACUACACACACAGUACGGGUGAGAACGUUAGGAACUUCGGAAUGGCGAUCACGCCAGUGAUGAUCUUGCCAUAGAAGUACACUAUGUUCUAAGUACCGAAAAAGCUCUACCCUUCCGAGAGCUUAGGACCAUCUGAGAAUUCUCAUGGAGAUUUGGUCCAACCUUCGAUAGACCGCUACUACCUUCGGAUAUACCACAAUACUCACACCUGAUCGAUCCACUUCUUAGACUAGAUAUGCGAUUGCCCGACAUCACUCUUCGUGCCUCACUCAUCUUGAUAGAAUCCAUUGAGAACCCUAACCGUGUAGAUACACCAGUUGUAACCCACUAGCUACACGAGACGGAAUCCGCAUCCCGUACGUGUUCGAUAGACCGCUACUACCUUCGGAUAUACCACAAUACUCACACCUGAUCGAUCCACUUCUUAGACUAGAUAUGCGAUUGCCCGACAUCACUCUUCGUGCCUCACUCAUCUUGAUAGAAUCCAUUGAGAACCCUAACCGUGUAGAUACACCAGUUGUAACCCACUAGCUACACGAGACGGAAUCCGCAUCCCGUACGUGAGGGUCUGUUGGAAUGACAAACACAGACCAGAGAUCACUUGAGAAUGCGAGGACAAACCAUAUAGGAAGUACUCUGUUACCUCUACUUGUCCAUUCAUACCUACUUCCUUGCCUAGACCUGAAUUUCGGGACGAAAUUCCCUCUAACGGGGGGAUGAUGUGACAACCCAAGUUGUUUCGUUACAUUUCCCCGUUACCGUUAACGGAAUAUUCCAGUUUAUAAAAGUUCCGUUAAUUAGAGGUUGUCAAUUUAAUAAACAUUUCAAUUGUUUACAUCUAAUAUGUCGUUAAGUCGUGAUAAAAGGAAAUAAAAAAACCUAACACACAUUUCCAUUUAUUUGGAAAAUGUUAAGUUUUAUUAUUACGACCACUAAAUCGGGUGCGACCAAAAGCCCCGUAUAACGACAGUGAUGGGUAGAUUCCCACUGAGCUCCAACUCCCACCCAUAUAUAAGGGGGAGUAAACUCCAUUUGAGCUCUUUCCACCCUAUCUCUCUAAACUCUCUCUCAAGACUCGUUUUCGCCCCGAAUCCGCAACCAAACGCUUCCAAAUCGUAAGUCCGCUUACCCUUGCUUGUUCUAAACAUAUUGAUUCGUGUUUAUAGCCCAAAAAUCGGACUUAGAGGCUGUUAGAAUGGAUUUUAUGGCCUAAGCUCCUCCUUAGGCCGUAAACCCCUAAAUAGAGGGCAAAAUGACCCCAAAAUGCCCCUAAAGGCUUGGAAUUAAAUUGGGGAUUUAGCCUAGGAGUGUUUGACCAUUUAAAACAAACAAAAUGGGGCAUAAAAGGGAGUUUACGGCCCAGGCAUAUGCCAAGGCCGUAAACACCUCUAAACCUUGUCUAAAUGUCCCAAAAACACUCCUAAAACACCCUUGGACUUCAUACAUAAAUUAGGGGCUUAUCCUCUUGGGUUUAGAUCAUUUAAACAUAAGGAUUUGGAGGAUUAAAAGGAGUUUAUGGCCCAGACAUGUGUCAAGGCCGUAAACUCCCCAAACCAAGCUAAAAAUGUGGUUUUUGCCCCCCAAAUGGCCUUAGACUAUUUUUAUAAAAUGCUAGGAAGGAUUUAAGGGCUUAAACUACAAGAGUUGUCGGUGUAUGAGAUUUCACGGCCAAGCCAUAGAGCUUACCGCCGUAAACUCUCAAAGAUUGGUCAUUUGGACAAAAAACUCUAAAGGAAUGCACCCUUGGAACCCCAAACACCCCUAUAGCCUUGAAUAAAUUACUAGAAGUGAUCUAUGGGCUUUAAACUUCCAUAAAAUCAAAGGAUAGGAGUUCACAACCGUGAACUCCCUUAGGAGUGGUUCAUGGGCCGUAAACUCCAUGAUGGAGCCCUUAGAAGCCUUAAACCCAUUCAUGCCUUCUGGAAUUGGACCUAGAAAAAUCCCACNAUAAUUCCAUGAACAAGCUAGAAGCCUUAAACACACUAGAACCCUUCACCAUGAGUUUACGGCCGUAAACUCAUGGUGAGUAGUCCCUGGGCCGUAAACAUCAUAAAACGGGUUUACUCUCGGAGAGUAAACUCCAUUCCUAAGCCAUACGCACCUUUAGACGCUACCUUGGACACCCAAACACUUAUCUAAAGUGGUUUCCGCUCCUUUGAGUGUGUAUACGUGUUUAAUUAGUACUAAAUAUACUAAUUGUAUGUGAACAUAUGUUAUCAUAUGCUAAAUAGGUCAUUAAGUGUGUUCGAGUCGUACGUGACACCGAACACCCAAACGGCACCUUCGUCGAACCUACUUACACCAGGUGAGUUCAUACCCCUGAAUGAACCUUUUAAAUGUUUUUACAUGUUUUAUAGGGGGGCGGGGGAAUACAAGUUAAACAUGCCAGUUAUCAUAUCAAUCACAUGUGAUUAAUAGCUCGCAUGCACAAGAUUUUACCACACUUUACAUUGUUUUACCGAGUAGGACACUAUAAAGGUUUUCAAUUGUUUCAAAACUCUUACUUAUAUGGUUUUAUCUAAAUUCAUGCUAAACUGGUUUAUGAAAGAUUUACAAAUGUUUUCAAACAUGUUUUUACAAAAGAAUGCAAAUUGUGAUUUUCCCCGAGUAUAAAGAUUUUUCAUCAAAGUUCCCUUUCACGACGUAUGCUUUUACUUGUUAAUUUCUACUGCUUCGCUUUCAUGUAUUUUAAACUCCUACUCGAUAACUCUUUCACUUUGGGACGCAUAUAUAUUUGUAUUGUCUCUAUAUCACUUAUAUCUGUCGUUGUCUCUAUAUCACUUAUACCUGUAUCGUCUCUAUUUCACUUAUACUUGUAGUCACUUCUACCUGAUAGACACUCUUACUUUACUUAUUGACGUCUCUACUUCGUGAUACGCUUAUGCUUGUUCGACACUCCUACUUCACUUGCGACCACUCCUACUUCACUUGUUGGACACUCCUACUUCAUAAGAAUCACUUCUACUUGAUACACACUCAGUCGUAGUUAGAUGUAUGUCUGUGCUUAUAUAGGUACAUAUAAGUAAUAAUUGAAAGACUUAGGAAGGCUCGUCCGCCCUAUUUCCUUUUCUUCAUUUAGAUGUGGUCUGGUGGGAUCGGAUGGCCGUCCGAAGGUCGUUUGAUUCAUUAGUUAUAUAUUAUGUAUAUGAGUAUAAACAUACAGGAAGUCUCUAGUCAGUUCAGUUAAGAGUCUCUACCUCUAGUCCACACUUACAUUAGAAACACACUACCCACUAUUUGGAAGUCUCUACCUCCAGUUCAGCACUUACACACUACCCACUAUUUGGAAGUCUCUACCCACUAUUUGGGAUGCAUCUUCAGGACACGGCCUUCUCCGUUGUCU